GUGAGGAAUAUUGCGCAAUGGAGGCAACUCUGACGCAGCCAUGCCGCGUGCAGGAAGAAGGCGCUACGCGUUGUAAACUGCUUUUAACCGGGAAGAAACCCCAGGACGUGUCCUGGGUUGACGGUACCGGAGGAAUAAGCACCGGCUAACUUCGUGCCAGCAGCCGCGGUAAUACGAAGGGUGCAAGCGUUAUCCGGAUUCAUUGGGUUUAAAGGGUGCGUAGGCGGAGCGUUAAGUCAGUGGUGAAAUCCUGCAGCUUAACUGUAGACUUGCCAUUGAUACUGGCGCUCUUGAGUGCACUUGAAGUGGGCGGAAUGUGCCGUGUAGCGGUGAAAUGCUUAGAUAUGGCACAGAACACCAAUUGCGAAGGCAGCUCACUAAGGCGAUACUGACGCUGAGGCACGAAAGCGUGGGGAUCGAACAGGAUUAGAAACCCUGGUAGUCC
rnacentral:rRNA from 1 species